UACGUAGGGUGCGAGCGUUGUCCGGAAUUACUGGGCGUAAAGAGCUCGUAGGUGGUUUGUCGCGUUGUUCGUGAAAACUCACAGCUUAACUGUGGGCGUGCGGUCGAUACGGGCAUCACUGGAGUCCGGAAGAGGCGAGUGGAAUUCCCGGUGUAGCGGUGAAAUGCGCAGAUAUUGGGAGGAACACCAGUGGCGAAGGCGGCUACCUGGACCGGAACUGACGCUGAUGCGCGAAAGCGUCGGGUAGCAAAGAGG
rnacentral:rRNA from 1 species